rnacentral:misc_RNA from 1 species
GAUGAAGAACGUAGCGAAAUGCGAUACUUGGUGUGAAUUGCAGAAUCCCGUGAACCAUCGAGUCUUUGAACGCAAGUUGCGCCUCAAGCCAUUAGGUUGAGGGCACGUCUGCCUGGGCGUCACAUAUCGUUGCCUGAUGCCAGUUUCCUCGUGAUGGGUGACUGUGCAGGGCGAAUGAUGGCUUCCCGUGAGCAUUGUUGCCUCAUGGUUGGUUGAAAAUUGAGUCCUUGGUAGGGAGCGCCGUGAUAGAUGGUGGUUGAGUGACGAACGAGACCCAAUCAUGUGAGACCCCUACCGAAUUUCGCCUUCAUGACCCACAUGCGUCUUUGGAACGCUCAUGACGAGACCUCAGGUCAGGCGGGGCUACCCGCUGAGUUUAAGCAUAUCAAUAAGCGGAGGA